CGCGUAGGCGGCUUUGUCAGUCGGAUGUGAAAGCCCCGGGCUUAACCUGGGAAUUGCAUUCGAUACUGCAGAGCUAGAGUAUGGUAGAGGGAAGUGGAAUUCCGGGUGUAGCGGUGAAAUGCGUAGAUAUCCGGAGGAACACCAGUGGCGAAGGCGACUUCCUGGGCCAAUACUGACGCUGAGGUGCGAAAGCGUGGGGAGCAAACA
rnacentral:rRNA from 1 species